rfam:Triticum aestivum genome assembly, contig: Triticum_aestivum_CS42_TGACv1_scaffold_132696_2BL
AAACUACUCUCUCCAUUCGGAAUUACUUGUCUCGGAAAUGGAUGUAUCUAGAUGCAGUCUAGAUACAUCCAUUUUCGAGACAAGUAAUUCCGAACGGAGGAAGUAGCAC